UCAGGUCCGGAUGAACUUCCUGACCCGAUCAGCUGGCAGUUGGAGAGAAGCAGAAAGAAAACAGGAGAGAGAAAAGUGAGCAGAGAGCUGAUCGCCACUGGAUUGCCAACAGAUAGAGGAGGUGGGACCCUGACUAUCACCACUGCUCUGCAGUGGAUUCGGCUCUCGGCACUCCCAGGCUGGGAGCUGGAUACCCUGCCCUGGCAGCAUGGCUCAGACUGCAUGACAGGUACAUUGUGCCCAGGAUGACGUUCCUGGGCCUCUGGCCACCUCAGAGUCCAGCCCCACACACAAUGCCCUCCAAGUUCCCAGCCCCUAUACCAUAAACCACGAGCUCUCUGCCCUCUGUGACAGCUUCAGAGAGCACCCACGUCUGCCACCUUGGGUAUGGAGCCUUUUCCAAGAGCUCACAGGCUCAUCCAUGGAGUCUGGGGGGCUUUGGGGCUGUGGGGGCCAGCCCUGGUACCUGCGUCCGGCUGGGACACUCUGCACCUGCAGCCAGGAGUCAUCCAUGGACCCCCAUGGGCAUGCUGAUGGUGUUCGUGUUGAUGUCACCGAUGAUGCUGGGUGCCUCCCUCAGCACGUGGUGUGUGCACAGCAUCUCGUUGCACCACUGUGCCUGCUGUGCCACCUUGUCCAUCAGCAUGUUCUUGUCCCCACGUGAGUACAGGUUGGACAGCAGCUGUGAGAAGAUGAACUCCUUGGUCUAAGUGUUGGCAAAGAGGGAAGGAGGUUGGGACCUGAUGCCUGUGCCAACCUGGCCACCCUGCCUGGCCCUGCUGGGACUGUGUGCUGGACUUGGAGCCCCAAGUAUUGCUGCCAUAUUAUAUCAGGGACUUGAGCGUCUGUGAAUUUUGGUAUCUCUUGGGUCCUGGAACCAAUAUCCUGAGGUUACUAAGGGACGACUGUAUUCAAUUUCUUCUUCGGUUAUUAGUCUAUUCUGUAAUAUAUUUUUGUUGUUGUUUUGUCUUUUAGUUUUUGCCUCUUCAAGUCAAUGUCAGAAACAUAGUUGGUCUAGACUACCCAUUAGCUCAAAGUUACCAGUAAGCAGACUACCACUGCAAUCUAAGCAACCGAUUUUUUUUCUCCAUCAGAUUGGCAAAAAUUAAGAUAUGCAUCUAUUGAUGUUACAGCUGUAGGGAGUUUUCCUGAGCAUGUUAGUUAUGACAGCCCUUUUUGCUAGGUACCUAGACGAUUCAUCAAAAUGAAAUAAAAUACCCAUGCACUUGAAGAA